UGCAAGUCGAGCGAAUGGAUUAAGAGCUUGCUCUUAUGAAGUUAGCGGCGGACGGGUGAGUAACACGUGGGUAACCUGCCCAUAAGACUGGGAUAACUCCGGGAAACCGGGGCUAAUACCGGAUAACAUUUUGAACCGCAUGGUUCGAAAUUGAAAGGCGGCUUCGGCUGUCACUUAUGGAUGGACCCGCGUCGCAUUAGCUAGUUGGUGAGGUAACGGCUCACCAAGGCAACGAUGCGUAGCCGACCUGAGAGGGUGAUCGGCCACACUGGGACUGAGACACGGCCCAGACUCCUACGGGAGGCAGCAGUAGGGAAUCUUCCGCAAUGGACGAAAGUCUGACGGAGCAACGCCGCGUGAGUGAUGAAGGCUUUCGGGUCGUAAAACUCUGUUGUUAGGGAAGAACAAGUGCUAGUUGAAUAAGCUGGCACCUUGACGGUACCUAACCAGAAAGCCACGGCUAACUACGUGCCAGCAGCCGCGGUAAUACGUAGGUGGCAAGCGUUAUCCGGAAUUAUUGGGCGUAAAGCGCGCGCAGGUGGUUUCUUAAGUCUGAUGUGAAAGCCCACGGCUCAACCGUGGAGGGUCAUUGGAAACUGGGAGACUUGAGUGCAGAAGAGGAAAGUGGAAUUCCAUGUGUAGCGGUGAAAUGCGUAGAGAUAUGGAGGAACACCAGUGGCGAAGGCGACUUUCUGGUCUGUAACUGACACUGAGGCGCGAAAGCGUGGGGAGCAAA
rnacentral:rRNA from 2 species